rnacentral:rRNA from 1 species
UACACCUACGGGGGGCUGCAGUAGGGAAUCUUCCACAAUGGGCGAAAGCCUGAUGGAGCAACGCCGCGUGAGUGAUGAAGGCUUUCGGGUCGUAAAGCUCUGUUGUAAGGGAAGAACAGCUAGAAUAGGGAAUGAUUUUAGUUUGACGGUACCAUACCAGAAAGGGACGGCUAACUACGUGCCAGCAGCCGCGGUAAUACGUAGGUCCCGAGCGUUGUCCGGAUUUAUUGGGCGUAAAGCGAGCGCAGACGGUUGAUUAAGUCUGAUGUGAAAGCCCGGAGCUCAACUCCGGAAUGGCAUUGGAAACUGGUUAACUUGAGUGCAGUAGAGGUAAGUGGAACUCCAUGUGUAGCGGUGGAAUGCGUAGAUAUAUGGAAGAACACCAGUGGCGAAGGCGGCUUACUGGACUGUAACUGACGUUGAGGCUCGAAAGUGUGGGUAGCAAACAGGAUUAGAUACCCUAGUAGUCC